AUCAAGUUAGUUUAAGUGAAAAUUCUGGGUUGUGGUCCUAGUGAUGGAAAAUAAGUGUUCCACUUGAUA
rnacentral:tRNA from 1 species